CCACCUAUCACCAUUGGAACUACUGGG
rnacentral:sRNA from 1 species